rnacentral:rRNA from 1 species
UACGAACCGUCCAAACGUUAUUCGGAAUCACUGGGCUUAAAGGGUGCGUAGGCGGCGCGGUAAGUUGGGUGUGAAAUACCUCGGCUCAACCGAGGAAUUGCGCCCAAAACUGCCGUGCUUGAGGGAGACAGAGGUAAGCGGAACUUAGGGUGGAGCGGUGAAAUGCGUUGAUAUCCUAAGGAACACCGGUGGCGAAAGCGGCUUACUGGGUCUCUUCUGACGCUGAGGCACGAAAGCUAGGGGAG